rnacentral:tRNA from 1 species
UGCGGAAAUGCUGGAAUUGGCAGACAGGCUAGACUAAGGAUCUAGUGUUGGCAACGACGUGAGGGUUCAAGUCCCUUUUUCCGCAU